AUACGUAGGGGGCGAGCGUUGUCCGGAAUUAUUGGGCGUAAAGGGUUCGUAGGCGGUUAUUUAAGUCAGAUGUGAAAGGCAUAGGCUCAACCUGUGUAAGCAUUUGAAACUGAGUAACUUGAGUUAAGGAGAGGAAAGUGGAAUUCCUAGUGUAGCGGUGAAAUGCGUAGAUAUUAGGAGGAAUACCAGUGGCGAAGGCGACUUUCUGGACUUAUACUGACGCUGAGGAACGAAAGCGUGGGGAGC
rnacentral:rRNA from 1 species